AUACUAGCCAUGACAAGAUGAGUCGUUUCGAAAAUCGCUUUUUAUAGUGUCUACUUAAAGUGUCUACUUUGUUUUGGUGUUAGAAUACCAACAACAAGCAUCAUUUCGAUUUAUCAACAGCCAAUCACCAUCGCCCAAGAGUAAUCAAUUAGUCAAUCAUUACCUCUUAGAUAUCUCACACAUCAUGACAGAAAAAAAUAAAAUAAAAACAACCCAAAUUUUCCAUCCAUAACAGCU
rnacentral:lncRNA from 1 species